rnacentral:pre_miRNA from 1 species
AGCUUUCUUAUUCGUACCGAGAUUACGUCAAAAAUCAGCCUGCUGGGGCUGACGCAACUUCUCAAAUAAGUGAAGUG